rnacentral:rRNA from 1 species
GGAGUUACAAAGGAACCGGUUAAGCGAAGAGGUCUGGAAAGGCCCGCCAAAGAAGGUAAAAGCCCUGUAGUUGAAAGUUGGUUCCCUCCGAGACGGAUCCCGAGUAGUGCGGGGCACGUGAAACCCCGUAUGAAUCCGGCAGGACCAUCUGCCAAGGCUAAAUACUUCCUAGCGACCGAUAGUGAAGCAGUACCGUGAGGGAAAGGUGAAAAGCACCCCGGAAGGGGAGUGAAAUAGAACCUGAAACCGUGUGCUUACAAAAAGUCAGAGCCCGUUUUAGGGGUGAUGGCGUGCCUUUUGUAGAAUGAACCGGCGAGUUACGUUCCCGUGCAAGGUUAAGGUGAAGAGCCGGAGCCG